CGGGGCGUAGCGCAGUCUGGUAGCGCACCACACUGGGGGUGUGGUGGUCACAGGUUCAAAUCCUGUCGUCCCGACAA
rnacentral:tRNA from 1 species